rnacentral:rRNA from 1 species
GAUGAACGCUAGCGGCAGGCUUAAUACAUGCAAGUCGAGGGGCAGCAUGACUGUAGCAAUACAGUUGAUGGCGACCGGCAAACGGGUGCGGAACACGUACAGAACCUUCCUUCGAGCGGGGAAUAGCCCAGAGAAAUUUGGAUUAAUACCCCAUAGUACAACGGAGUGGCAUCACUUUGUUGUUAAAGAUUUAUCACUUGAAGAUGGCUGUGCGGCUGAUUAGGUAGUUGGCGGGGUAACGGCCCACCAAGCCUGCGAUCAGUAACUGGUGUGAGAGCACGACCAGUCACACGGGCACUGAGACACGGGCCCGACUCCUACGGGAGGCAGCAGUAAGGAAUAUUGGUCAAUGGACGAAAGUCUGAACCAGCCAUGCCGCGUGGAGGAUGAAGGUCCUCUGGAUUGUAAACUUCUUUUAUAUGGGACGAAAAAGGGUUUCUAACUCGUCUGACGGUACCAUAUGAAUAAGCACCGGCUAACUCCGUAGCCAGCAGCCGG